ensembl:snRNA U6 U6 spliceosomal RNA
GUGCUUGCUUUGACAGCACAUUUACCAAAACUGGAACAAUACAGAGAAGAUUAGAAUGGCCCUGCACAAAUAUGUGCUAUAUUAUUUAAAACCUCCAAAAGGAAGGU